rnacentral:lncRNA from 1 species
ACCAUAGUUGGUCAAUUAGUUCAAAUAACUCUGAUGUAACCAGGGUGUUUCAAGUCCGGAAAUUCUCAAUCUUUUCAAACCUAAUUUUUGUCAUUGUAUAUGAUAUAACGUUCUUUAUUUGAAUCAUAGACAAUAACCUUGUGAUGUUAUGAAUCAACUUAUGAUGUAUUAACUUUUGGUACAAAAGUCGGCAUUUAAAUUAAAAACAAACAAGAAUGUGUCCAUAGUACACGGAUGCCC